rnacentral:rRNA from 1 species
AGUGAACGCUGGCGGUAGGCCUAACACAUGCAAGUCGAACGGCAGCACAGUAAGAGCUUGCUCUUACGGGUGGCGAGUGGCGGACGGGUGAGGAAUACAUCGGAAUCUACUUUUUCGUGGGGGAUAAUGUAGGGAAACUUACGCUAAUACCGCAUACGACCUACGGGUGAAAGCAGGGGAUCUUCGGACCUUGCGCGAUUGAAUGAGCCGAUGUCGGAUUAGCUAGUUGGCGGGGUAAAGGCCCACCAAGGCGACGAUCCGUAGCUGGUCUGAGAGGAUGAUCAGCCACACUGGAACUGAGACACGGUCCAGACUCCUACGGGAGGCGGCAGUGGGGAAUAUUGGACAAUGGGCGCAAGCCUGAUCCAGCCAUACCGCGUGGGUGAAGAAGGCCUUCGGGUUGUAAAGCCCUUUUGUUGGGAAAGAAAGGCAGCAGGUUAAUACCCCGCUGUUCUGACGGUACCCAAAGAAUAAGCACCGGCUAACUUCGUG